rnacentral:lncRNA from 1 species
AGAUAGUGAUGAUAAUGAUAAUAGUCUUUUCCUGUUGAAAUGUAAAAUCUUUGAAGGUUUUCUGAAUUUUCCAAGACAAAGCAGAAUUAACAACUCUUCUAUGAAGUAGUUGGAGAAGUUGGGGUGAAGGAUGAGGGGGAAGACAUAGCCAGUGUGUCACUGUGAAAUAAAGUAUGGUGCCAAGUUUGAGACUGAUGCUAAUGACAUCUCACAUCAUGUUGCAUCUUAAAGUUAAUAAAAUGACUUCCUUAGGAACCUGUGAAUAUAUGAUUAUACCUAUUUCUUAGAUUAAGACAUUGAGACUGAAGUGACUUGCCCAGACUCCUACAUCGACUAAGUGUCAGAACUAUUGAGCCUGAUGCAGUUUUUUGACCCCAACAUCUGAUCAUGCAAAUCAUCUUUUUGUUAGUUAGUUGCCCAGACUAUUUUGUUUUCUCUGCCCUCCCUACUUCAGUCUGUGUACCUUGUUAAGUAUUUUAGGCCAUGUAUUAUGUCCCAGAUACCUUCUUGUGAUUGCGGUACCCUUUUGUGCAUUUUAGGUCUUUGCCAUGAGCUCAGGACAGGGACAUCUGCAUGCAUCUGUGAUCCUUUUCCCCUGGACCUUUCUCAUCAUAGACCUCUCACCCGGGUGAGAGAUAUACUGCAUGAUGCUGGUGAACAUAUCAGAUGAAUAUACGUCUUCCUAUUUUACCUCUCAUUGACGGUGCUACCCAGCAGAUCACUGAACAAAGACAUUUCUAUUAUAAUAUUUGUCAUAAAAUCUUCUAUGAUUUUUAGCAUAUACAUGAGAAAUACUCCUUUAAAACCACUAAAGCUGUAUUUUAUUUCUCCUGAGUCAAAAUCAUUUUAAUGUCAAAACUAAUAAAUGAAUGAAUCAGCAAGUAUUUUUUAAGUAU